rnacentral:lncRNA from 1 species
CAAUUUUGUAGAUGAAGAAAUGGAAAUUCACAAAGCUUAAGCAACUUGAGGUGUUUAAUAGUGAGUAAUAUGGAGGUGGGAUUUGAACCUAUAUCUGACUGAUGAGAUCUGUGCUUCUGACCGUUUUACUCUACUAUCAAUAGCAAUUGGCUUUCAUCUCCUCUAGACACUCUUAUAGUCUGGCUUGACUGUUCCCUGGGCUGGGCAUGUGCCCUAUACCUGACCAACCAGAGAUCAUUGUAGGACAGAAGGGCGGGGCCAUAUCUGCCUAUGUGACAAUAAUUGUGCCCAUAUAAUGCCAUCAGUGAAUGUGUCCUUUGGAAAAUGAAGCCAAAUCAAGAGACCAUUGAGCCAAGAGAAAAGAGAUAAUUUGGAUGGCAUUGAUAGAUAGAACCUUUGGAUCAAGCACUGCCAGUUCCUAUCUUGACUUCCUCAAUUAUGCCAGCCAGUGUUCUAAAUCAGGAGCCAAAAGAAGUUGGAGCAGCUGGGGCCAAUUUUUACAUGUAAAACUAACAGAGCAAUUUGGCUGUCUGAUGCUGAACUGAAGAGUGACUUUCCUUUAACUUUGUCAUCACUACAGCAUCCAACCUGCCCUGUUCCAGAUGUGCAACAACUGGGCUUUGAAAGAGUGUGACUAGAAAAUCAAACAAGGCACGUGGACACACAAAGGAGAUAAGAGGCUCCAAGAGAUCACGUUCCUUUCUUGUGUAAUUUCUUUCAUCUAAUUCUGUCAACAUUUACUGGAAACCUCUAUCUGGAACACAGAUUACCUCAAGUAAUCUGCCUGCCUCAGCCUCCCAAAGAACUGGGACUGCAGGCAUGAGCCACCACGCCCAGACAAUUUAUAAUCCUAGUGAUCAUGUUAGAACAACAUCUGUUGUCAACCAAUCAUUGAGUAUUUGUUGAGGAUAUUCUUCGUGCUACAUUAAGUGAAUGCAGGCAGCAUAUCAAGUCUCUACCUUUUUCACAACCUAGUUUGGUGAGAUAAUGUUAGUAUAGAUUAAGCAAUUGUUACUAGUAAAAAUCAGUAUAUUAUUAAUACUAAGUUGUGUGGCACAGACUAGAACUCUCAGAAAAGAGGCUGCAAUCAUAAAUAUGGUGAGAGUCAGAGAUCCUUCUGGGCUUUAAAGAAAUGCUUAAUCAUAGACUGUGUACCUAUCCCCCUGCUGAACAAGACACAUCCUUAGUUUCAAGACAGACUGGGGUUUGGGAAUAUGGGUAGCUCUGUGCUAAUGCAUCACCCCACUGAGGAAACAGGGUUUGUAUUCUACUUACUGUGGCUUCAUUGCAUAAAUUUUAUGCUCAUUGGAGAGAAUAUUUACUCACAAUCUAGCCCAUCCAUUCUUAUAAAAGAGACCUCUGAAAGCUAAGAGUCACUUUCCUGAGGGAAAUGCAAGACUCUGGGAGAGAGAGGGCACUUUGAGAAUGGGAAAAUUGCCUGUGAAAUCAAAUUUAGGCGAAAAGAUAGCCCAGCAGCCAUAUGUAAAUCAUUCCCUCAUGUAGGAACAAUGCUGUGCACUUGGUAAUUCAAUAGAAAACAUUAGUCAUUUAUCAUCCUUAAUUAUCAGUCAUCUCUAACUGCAUCUGGUUUGCAUUUUUUAUUAGAAAGGUUUUUUUUUUUUUGAGUUGGACUCAGGCAUUUUUUUUCUUCCGUUCCUGAUUUCAUUUUGUUAUUCUUUUUAAAAUUCCAUCACUAAUUCCCAUGAUGUGAAGAGGUUUCUAUUUCAUAAGACACAAUAAAUCAAGCAACGCCUCUGUUGUAACGUCGUCCUUACUGCGCAUUUGUCAUGGGCCCUGGAUUGCUGAGUUUACUCAAGGUUAGAGAGUCAAGCUGCUUUGAGGACACACUUGGCCAGUGCCGUGAGCAUGCACGUAGCCCCAUCAGAGGAGCCGAAGGUAUAAAACUUCCGUCAACUUGAGCGACCACAGCUGCUUCAGAAAAGUCAUGGGGCAAAAAGUGACCCUGGGAGAUUUUGAAGUUUGAGUGCUCUUGUCCUGGCACUCUGGACAGUGUAUGAUGGCCACGUCACACUUUUGUAGGAAGAACUCAUGGUAACGAGUCAUGUUUUUCUCUCAUAGGAUAAUAGUAACAGCGAAUAUUUAUUAAGAAUUUUCUGCGUGUUCUGCAUUGUGC